AUUGAACGCUGGCGGCAUGCUUUACACAUGCAAGUCGAACGGCAGCGCGGGCUUCGGCCUGGCGGCGAGUGGCGAACGGGUGAGUAAUACAUCGGAACGUGCCCCGUAGUGGGGGAUAGCUCGGCGAAAGCCGGAUUAAUACCGCAUACGACCUGAGGGUGAAAGCGGGGGAUCUUCGGACCUCGCGCUAUUGGAGCGGCCGAUGGCAGAUUAGCUAGUUGGUGGGGUAAAGGCCUACCAAGGCGACGAUCUGUAGCUGGUCUGAGAGGACGACCAGCCACACGGGGACUGAGACACGGCCCAGACUCCUGCGGGAGGCAGCAGUGGGGAAUUUUGGACAAUGGGCGAAAGCCUGAUCCAGCAAUGCCGCGUGUGUGAUGAAGGCCUUCGGGUUGUAAAGCACUUUUGGCGGGAACGAAAAGGACUGUGCCAAUACCACGGUUCGAUGACGGUACCCGCAGAAUAAGCACCGGCUAACUACGUG
rnacentral:rRNA from 1 species